GUGCUUGCUUUGGCAGCACAUUUACAAAAAUUGGAACAAUAGAGAGAAGCUUAGCAUGGCCCCUGUGCAAGAAUAACAUAUGAAUUUAUGAAGUAUUUCAUAUCAUU
ensembl:snRNA U6 U6 spliceosomal RNA